GACGAACCUUGCUAACGUUAUUCGGAAUUACUGGGCUUAAAGGGUGCGUAGGCGGUGCAGCAAGUCGGGUGUGAAAUCCCUCAGCUCAACUGAGGAACGGCGCCCGAAACUGCUGUGCUCGAGGAAGAUAGAGGUACGCGGAACUUAGGGUGGAGCGGUGAAAUGCGUAGAGAUCGGAAAGAACACCAACGGCGAAAGCACUCUGCUGGGCCGACACUGACACUGAGGAGCGAAAGCGUGGGGAGCGAACAGG
rnacentral:rRNA from 1 species